GUGACUCUUUAAACGGCCGCGGUAUCCUAACCGUGCAAAGGUAGCAUAAUCACUUGUCCCCUAAAUAGGGACUGGAAUGAAUGGCUAAAUGAGGACUAAACUGUCUCUUACAGUUUAUCAAUGAAAUUAAUCUUCCAGUACAAAAGCUGGAAUAAGCUCAUAAGACGAGAAGACCCUGUGGAGCUUUAAAACCAAACCACAACCUCUUAUGCCUCCUGGUUUUUUAGUUGGGGCGACUUCGGAGCAAAAAAAACCCUCCGAAAACUUUUAGUCAUCAAGAUCAACACACCAAAAAUAAUUCUUGCGACCCAGCAGCUUCUUAAAACAUACCUGUCUGAUCAAUGAACCAAGUUACCCCAGGGAUAACAGCGCCAUCCCCUCCUAGAGUCCCUAUCGACAAGGGGGUUUACGACCUCGAUGUUGGAUCAGGACACCCCAAUGGUGCAGCCGCCAUUAAAGGUUCGUUUGUUCAACGAUUAAAGUCCUACGUGAUCU
rnacentral:rRNA from 1 species